rnacentral:rRNA from 1 species
UACAGAGGGUGCGAGCGUUAAUCGGAAUUACUGGGCGUAAAGCGCACGUAGGUGGCGACGUAAGUCGGGUGUGAAAGCCCCGGGCUCAACCUGGGAAUUGCAUUCGAGACUGCAUUGCUGGAGUACGGAAGAGGAAGGCGGAAUUCCCGGUGUAGCGGUGAAAUGCGUAGAUAUCAGAAGGAACAUCAGUGGCGAAAGCGGCUUCCUGGUCCAGUACCGACGUUCAGGCACGAAAGCGUGGGGAGCAAACAGG